GACCCUCCAACACUAUGUAGACUGAGGAGCCUCUGACCAACUCAGCUUCUGAAAAAAAUCCAAACCUGUCCCUGCAGUUUCGGCUGUGCUGUUUCCGGAGUCAAGUAUUGAGGUUGAAGGAGGCUGAUUAGGCCUGGUCUGUGGCAGAAUGGUGCCCAAGCAGGGACCUCUGGACAGUCUGGGAUGUCUUUGGCAUCUUCAUCUGCAUACCUUCUUUUGCUGCAGGAACACUCUGCUUGGAGUCACUGCCUGUGUUGAAGUGGGCUCUGCAGUGAAAUAGCUGUUGGGAAGUUACCCAAGCUCCUCUCACAUAAACAAUCCUGAGAGAACAUUCGUGGUCGUAACAGCAAGAAAGUUUAUGGGAAAAGAGGACACUGUGACUGUUGGUUCCAGGAGCUGAAGAUUGCCACCUGACCUUCAGAGAGCCCCCAGUCUCUCCCACUCCCCACCCCCCAUCCCUUGGAGCCUCCUCUUGCUUAUGCUUAUAUUGCCACUCCUGAAUAAAGUUUUCAGAGCUUGAUCAGUA
rnacentral:lncRNA from 1 species